GGUCAGGACCGUCUGCUCCCCCUGGUACCCAUGCUGUAAACCAAGCCCCCACUGUGGCUCUGCCGCCUCCUAUCAGGGUCAGUACAGGAUGCGCUCGCCAUAUUGCCCUGAGUGUGAAAGACACAGAUGGUGAUCAUAUCUGCUGUCGCUUUGUGGACACAGCACCCACAUUCCUGCAGCUCAGUCAGGACUGUCUGCUGUCUUAUAGUGGAGGGGGGAUCAGGGCCAGUAUGAAGUGAAGAUUUCCCCAAAACUGGCCUUGAAGGU